GACGAACGCUGGCGGCGUGCUUAACACAUGCAAGUCGAACGGAAAGGCCCUGCUUUUGUGGGGUGCUCGAGUGGCGAACGGGUGAGUAACACGUGAGUAACCUGCCCUUGACUUUGGGAUAACUUCGGGAAACUGGGGCUAAUACCGGAUAGGAGCUCCUGCUGCAUGGUGGGGGUUGGAAAGUUUCGGCGGUUGGGGAUGGACUCGCGGCUUAUCAGCUUGUUGGUGGGGUAGUGGCUUACCAAGGCUUUGACGGGUAGCCGGCCUGAGAGGGUGACCGGCCACAUUGGGACUGAGAUACGGCCCAGACUCCUACGGGAGGCAGCAGUGGGGAAUAUUGCACAAUGGGCGGAAGCCUGAUGCAGCAACGCCGCGUGCGGGAUGACGGCCUUCGGGUUGUAAACCGCUUUCGCCUGUGACGAAGCGUGAGUGACGGUAAUGGGUAAAGAAGCACCGGCUAACUACGUGCCAGCAGCCGCGGUGAUACGUAGGGUGCGAGCGUUGUCCGGAUUUAUUGGGCGUAAAGGGCUCGUAGGUGGUUGAUCGCGUCGGAAGUGUAAUCUAGGGGCUUAACCCUGAGCGUGCUUUCGAUACGGGUUGACUUGAGGAAGGUAGGGGAGAAUGGAAUUCCUGGUGGAGCGGUGGAAUGCGCAGAUAUCAGGAGGAACACCAGUGGCGAAGGCGGUUCUCUGGGCCUUUCCUGACGCUGAGGAGCGAAAGCGUGGGGAGCGAACAGGCUUAGAUACCCUGGUAGUCCACGCUGUAAACGGUGGGUACUAGGUGUGGGGUCCAUUCCACGGGUUCCGUGCCGUAGCUAACGCUUUAAGUACCCCGCCUGGGGAGUACGGCCGCAAGGCUAAAACUCAAAGGAAUUGACGGGGCCCCGCACAAGCGGCGGAGCAUGCGGAUUAAUUCGAUGCAACGCGUAGAACCUUACCUGGGUUUGACAUGGAUCGGGAGUGCUCAGAGAUGGGUGUGCCUCUUUUGGGGUCGGUUCACAGGUGGUGCAUGGCUGUCGUCAGCUCGUGUCGUGAGAUGUUGGGUUAAGUCCCGCAACGAGCGCAACCCUUGUUCACUGUUGCCAGCACGUUAUGGUGGGGACUCAGUGGAGACCGCCGGGGUCAACUCGGAGGAAGGUGGGGAUGACGUCAAGUCAUCAUGCCCCUUAUGUCCAGGGCUUCACGCGUGCUACAAUGGCUGGUACAGAGAGUGGCGAGCCUGUGAGGGUGAGCGAAUCUCGGAAAGCCGGUCUCAGUUCGGAUUGGGGUCUGCAACUCGACCUCAUGAAGUCGGAGUCGCUAGUAAUCGCAGAUCAGCAACGCUGCGGUGAGUACGUUCCCGGGGCU
rnacentral:rRNA from 1 species